rfam:Daphnia pulex DAPPTscaffold_426_Cont9515, whole genome shotgun sequence.
GGGGAUGUAGCACAGAUGGUAGAGCGCUCGCAAAGCAUGCGAGAAGUACGGGGAUCGAUACCCUGCAUCUCCA